AUCGCCACGGCCCCGCCCCCGCGGCUCCUGCACCACGUGGUGGGGGGGGGAGGGGAAACAAUGACAGCAGCUGCAGAUGCUGCAAACCUGAGAUAAAACCUCAAGGGGGCAAGACUACAAAAUGCUGCAGUAACUCAGCGGGACGGGCAGCAUCUCUGGAGAGAAGGAAUGGGCGACGUGUCGAGGUUGAGACCCUUCCUCUGAGAGUCGCAGGAGAGAUGUAGACGACUGCCCGUUAUAGGGAGGCUGCACGGCAGUCAGGUCACGACCCCUGAACCGGUGCUGUUGCCACGCUACGCCAACUGGAGUACACGUGAUGAACUGCAGUUUCAGAUGUCGACAGUGGGUCCAGAAUACUCGUCAACAAGAUCUCCUUCACCGAACUCCGGUGUACUUGUCAAACAACUGCUGUCUUUGUUCUGAACACUUUGAACUUGACCAGUUUUCCAACAAGCAGACCAAGAACAGGCUAUCACUGUUUGAAAUAUGUUGCAUUUUACAUCACUUUCAUUGGUUAGCUGAUAUGCGAAACACUGCAACCCUGUAUAUCUCGCACACAAAAUGAUGUAAAUUAUGUAAACAUUACCAUGAAUAACAGAAAUAAAAAGUGUUAUCCUUGUUUAUGAAGUUCAAUUUAGA